rnacentral:rRNA from 1 species
AUGAACGCUGGCGGCGUGCCUAAUACAUGCAAGUCGAGCGAACAGACGAGGAGCUUGCUCCUCUGACGUUAGCGGCGGACGGGUGAGUAACACGUGGAUAACCUACCUAUAAGACUGGGAUAACUUCGGGAAACCGGAGCUAAUACCGGAUAAUAUAUUUAACCGCAUGGUUCCAUAGUGAAAGACGGUUUUGCUGUCACUUAUAGAUGGAUCCGCGCCGCAUUAGCUAGUUGGUAAGGUAACGGCUUACCAAGGCAACGAUGCGUAGCCGACCUGAGAGGGUGAUCGGCCACACUGGAACUGAGACACGGUCCAGACUCCUACGGGAGGCAGCAGUAGGGAAUCUUCCGCAAUGGGCGAAAGCCUGACGGAGCAACGCCGCGUGAGUGAUGAAGGUCUUCGGAUCGUAAAACUCUGUUAUUAGGGAAGAACAAAUGUGUAAGUAACUAUGCACGUCUUGACGGUACCUAAUCAGAAAGCCACGGCUAACUACGUG